AUUGAACGCUGGCGGCAGGCCUAACACAUGCAAGUCGAACGGUAUCAGGAAACAGCUUGCUGUUUCGCUGACGAGUGGCGGACGGGUGAGUAAUGUCUGGGAAACUGCCUGAUGGAGGGGGAUAACUACUGGAAACGGUAGCUAAUACCGCAUAACGUCGCAAGACCAAAGAGGGGGACCUGCGGGCCUCUUGACAGCGGAUGUGCCCAGAUGGGAUUAGCUAGUAGGUGGGGUAACGGCUCACCUAGGCGACGAUCCCUAGCUGGUCUGAGAGGAUGACCAGCCACACUGGAACUGAGACACGGUCCAGACUCCUACGGGAGGCAGCAGUGGGGAAUAUUGCACAAUGGGCGCAGGCCUGAUGCAGCCAUGCCGCGUGUAUGAAGAAGGCCUUCGGGUUGUAAAGUACUUUCAGCGGGGAGGAAGGGAGUAAAGUUAAUACCUUUGCUCAUUGACGUUACCCGCAGAAGAAGCACCGGCUAACUCCGUGCCAGCCGCCGCCGUAA
rnacentral:rRNA from 1 species